rnacentral:rRNA from 1 species
AGGGUGCAGGGCGGAUGCCUUGGCACUAGGAGCCGAUGAAGGACGUGAUAAGCUGCGAUAAGCUUCGGGGAGUUGCACGUAAACUUUGAUCCGAAGAUUUCCGAAUGAGGAAACUCACUUAGAGUAAUGUCUAAGUAUCAUUAAGUGAAUACAUAGCUUAAUGAGGGGAACUCAGGGAACUGAAACAUCUAAGUACCUGAAGGAAGAGAAAGAAAUUCGAUUCCGUAAGUAGCGGCGAGCGAACGCGGAUUAGCCCAAACCAAUAAAGUUUUCUUUAUUGGGGUUGCGGACAUAUCAUAACGAAGAGGUAUCGUAAUUGAAGAGGUUUGGAAAGACCCACCACAGAAGGUAAUAGUCCUGUAUGUUAAACGAGAAGACUUCAGAUAUGAUCCAGAGUACCACGGGACACGUGAAACCCUGUGGGAAGCAGGAGGGACCACCCUCCAAGGCUAAAUACUACCUAGUGACCGAUAGCGUAUAGUACCGUGAGGGAAAGGUGAAAAGAACCCCGGGAGGGGAGUGAAAUAGAACCUGAAACCCUGCACUUACAAGCUGUGGAAGCACAUUUCUUGUGUGACCGCGUACUUUUUGUAGAACGGGCCAACGAGUUACGUUAAGUAGCAAGGUUAAGCACUUAAGGUGCGGAGCCGUAGCGAAAGCGAGUUUUAACUGAGCGUUCAGUUACUUGACGUAGACCCGAAACCGGGCGACCUACCCAUGAGCAGGAUGAAGCGAAAGUAAAAUUUCGUGGAGGUCCGAACCCACGAGCGUUGAAAAGCUCGGGGAUGACUUGUGGGUAGCGGUGAAAUUCCAAUCGAGCCCGGAGAUAGCUGGUUCUCCCCGAAAUAGCUUUAGGGCUAGCCUCAAGGUGAGAGAUACGGAGGUAGAGCACUGAAUGUCCUAGGGGGUAUUGCACCUACCGAAGACUAUCAAACUCCGAAUGCCGUCAUCUUAUACUUGGGAGUCAGACUGUGGGUGAUAAGAUUCAUAGUCGAAAGGGCAACAGCCCAGAUCGUCAGCUAAGGUCCCUAAAUGUAAGUUAAGUGGUAAAGGAUGUGGGAUUGCACAGACAACCAGGAUGUUGGCUUAGAAGCAGCCACUCAUUCAAAGAGUGCGUAAUAGCUCACUGGUCGAGUGAUCCUGCGCCGAAGAUUUCCGGGGCUAAAACUUACUACCGAAGCUACGGCAUCAGUAAUGAUGGGUAGGGGAGCUUCCCAUACGGGUUGAAGCAUGACCGUAAGGACAUGUGGACAGUAUGGGAGUGAGAAUGUUGGCAUGAGUAGCGAGAUGUGGGUGAGAAUCCCACAGGCCGUAAACCCAAGGUUUCCAGGGGAAGGUUCGUCCGCCCUGGGUUAGUCGGGACCUAAGCUGAGGCCGAAAGGCGUAGGUGAUGGACAACAGGUUGAUAUUCCUGUACUACCGAUAACCGUUUGAGAGAAGGGAUGACACAGUAGGAUAAGCUAAGCACACUGUUGGUUAUGUGUGCCCAAGCAUUGAGGCAGUCAAAGUAGGCAAAUCCGCUUUGAUAAUGCUGGGAUGUGAUGGGGAGCGAAAUUUAGUAGCGAAGUAGCUGAUUUCACACUGUCAAGAAAAGUCUCUAUCGAGGUUAAAGGUACCCGUACCGCAAACCGACACAGGUGGGUGAGGAGAGUAUCCUAAGGCCAGCGAGAGAACUGUUGUUAAGGAACUCGGCAAAAUGACCCCGUAACUUAGGGAUAAGGGGUGCCACCAUCAGGUGGCCGCAGAGAAUAGGCCCAAGCGACUGUUUACCAAAAACAUAGGUUUCUGCUAAGUCGCAAGACGAUGUAUAGGAGCUGACGCCUGCCCGGUGCUGGAAGGUUAAGGGGAUCUGUUAGAGCAAUCGAAGCAGUGAACUUAAGCCCCAGUAAACGGCGGCCGUAACUAUAACGGUCCUAAGGUAGCGAAAUUCCUUGUCGGGUAAGUUCCGACCCGCACGAAAGGCGUAACGAUUUGGGCACUGUCUCAACAACAGACUCGGUGAAAUUGUAAUUCCGGUGAAGAUGCCGGAUACCUGCGACAGGACGGAAAGACCCCAUGGAGCUUUACUGUAGCUUGACAUUGGGUCUUGGUACUACAUGUACAGGAUAGGUGGGAGGCUUUGAAACCAGGACGCCAGUUUUGGCGGAGCCAUCCUUGGGAUACCACCCUUGUAGUACUGGGACUCUAACCAUAGGCCAUGAAUCUGGUCUUGGGACACUGUCAGG